UGCCAGCAGGGAGAGCGGAGAGUUCAGGAACUUGUGGUCAAGAGAAUUUGAACAAGGAAGGUUUUCAAAACCUUUUAAUACAGCUAAGCAACAAAAGCCAGGGAAAGAGUAACAUGGGUGAUUGUGCUGGAUUGACUAGGAAAAGAUAGAUCAGUGUGGGACUGAGACAAAGAAUGCAGACAACUGCUUCUAGAGGCUGAUGUCUGAGAAUUUGGCUAGGCAAAGGGGAAAGGAGAAAGGGUGGGAAGAGUAAGAGGCUGCGAGAUGAGCACACAGCUGAGCAGCCUGCACAGAAUAGAGAAACAGACUCAAGACAUGAUGCGGAUUUAGAGUAGGGCCAGAUUGCAGCCAUUCCUGGAACUCAAUGAAGAGAACUGUAUUUGAUGUAGAAGGGAGUUGAUGGCCUUGGGAGGCUUUGACAGUUUUAUAUGACGAAUAUUCAUCAGCCACCACUGACAGCCGACAACUCUGCCGUGACUGGUACAUAGAACUGUGAGCCUACAUGAAGUGAGCAGCUUCCUGCCCUGAGCCACAACAGACCCAAAAGCAGUAGAGCCCUCGAAGAGUUACCUCUCACCUUCCAGUCCUCCUUCAAACACAAGAAGACAUUGAAAAAAAGGAAGAAAAAAAUAGUAAAUCUAAUUUCUGUUGUACUGAACGGAUCAUGGUCAAACUCCCAGUGGCUGUCCCCUUAAAGAAAACUAAGUUCUUCUCCACCCCACCCAGCCAGAAGCUAUCAACUGUGA